GGGCGUGAAACCGCUUAGAAUAAAACGGACGGAGCCGUCAGGAGCUUUCGAGACUCAGUCGACUAGUAAGCGAAAGUAUCGCGUUCGAAGAGCAUAAAAAGGUCUUCGUCGCGGUAUUAGUACGUUGAUAGUCGGCGCAUUUCUCGAGAGUAAGCAUCGCAACCGAUACGAAAGGCUAGCGAGGCGAUCGGAUUGAGGUCUAGCGUCUUUACGGACGCUAGUUGCCAGUCCGAUCGCGCUAUAUUCGCUAGAUCGCAGUAUGUAUCGAGCGCUUACCAAUACUAAAAUACGUCGACCAUAAAACGGUUCGUCGAACGGCGGAUAGUCGGUUAGUCAAUCGGUUGGUUACCUGCUCGCAGGUGCUAGCUAACUUUGAUCGGCUCAGAAGUCGUCGACGACUCGACGUAUAGGCGUUAGCGGUGUCAGCGUCGGUCACCCGUCCGACCCGUCUUGAAACACGGACCAAGGAGUCUAACAUAUGCGCGAGCCAAUAGGCGGAAAACCUAAAGGCGUAAUAAAAGUAAAGACCGUUCUAC
rnacentral:rRNA from 1 species